GACCGUGAAGAGAAGGGGCCUGCUCUGGCUGUGCUCAGCAGCACCAGGAGAACCAGGCUGGAGGUUAGAGCAUACUGGGCUGGCAUCAUUCAGGAGGCUGCAGGGAGAAAGGGCAGCUUCAUCUCCCCAUGUGCUGCCCUGACGAGCUGAAAAAGAGACUUUGCUACAGAGGAGAAAUAUCCCAGCUGAGUGGGAACCCACUACCCCCAGAUUCACAGUGAGGACUGAGUCUCUCUAUCCCGCUACAGACCUCACCACUGAGGUGUAACUUGGCCAAGUCACAGGUGAAAGGUCUCGACUCCCUCCUCAUCCCACAGUUCUCUCCAUGGCAAGACUUCCCUCUUCCCUUCCCAUCACUCGCCCUACUUCUCUCCUCCCCAACACUUACAUC